rnacentral:rRNA from 1 species
CCUACGGGAGGCUGCAGUGAGGAAUUUUGGUCAAUGGGCGCGAGCCUGAACCAGCCACGUCGCGUGAAGGAUGACUGCCCUACGGGUUGUAAACUUCUUUUAUAAAGGAAUAAAGUGAGGCACGUGUGCCUUUUUGUAUGUACUUUAUGAAUAAGGAUCGGCUAACUCCGUGCCAGCAGCCGCGGUAAUACGGAGGAUCCGAGUGUUAUCCGGAUUUGUUGGGUUUAAAGGGAGCGUAGAUGGGUUGUUAAGUCAGUUGUGAAAGUUUGCGGCUCAACCGUAAAAUUGCAAUUGAUACUGGCAGCCUUGAGUACAGGUGAGGGAGGCGGAAUUCGUGGUGUAGCAGUGAAAUGCUUAGAUAUCGCGAAGAACUCCGAUUGCGAAGGCAGCUUACUAAACAGCCACUGACAUUGAUGCUCGAAAGUGUGGGUAUCAAACAGGAUUAGAUACCCGGGUAGUC